UCCCUGGUGGUCCAGUGGUUAGGACCAGUGCUUUCACUACUAGGGCCCAGGUUCAAUUCCUGGUCGGGGAA